AAACUUCCGGCAAAACAUAAACAUGGAAAGUGCCGAAGACGGAGAGUCGAAAACAACGCAGAUCUUUGCUUGCCUAGUGCUUGUGUUUACUUUUGUUAUAAUUUUAAAAAGGUUUAACUUGGAAGAAAUAUUUCUGCAAAAUUUUGAUGCUGUUCAUCACGUGAAUUCAACAUCUGAAGUAUAUGUACAGGAAGUUUGCAAUCCGUUCCAUGUGACUUUGUCAAAGCAACACAGAACCAGCACAGAGGAAGGACUGAACCUAGAAUUGUCACUCUUAAAGCCAGGAUUUGUGAAGCUCUUUUGGGGAGCAAACAUCGAGGAAUUUUACAAAGAACUUAAACAUCCUUGGGAAGUUCUUAACAGCAGAAUUCAAAAUGAAUUUUUUCUAGAAGACAAUAAAUUAAAAGUCUCAAAUUAUUCAGAAAGAUCCCAAGUGUGUGAAAAGUCUUUAUGGCACACAACAGUGCCAGACAAGAUAAACCAGUACUCUGGAGCCGUCCCCAGGACAGUGUAUCCUGUAGUGGUGGCCUGCACUCGAGAGGAACAUGUACUAGAUGAUGUACAAAUAAAAUUAAUUCCUCGUGUUUAAUAACGAAUUAACAGAAGUUAUCCAUCCACAAAAACAUCAUCCCAGAAAAAGACAUUGUUUGAUCAUAAAAGAGGGACUGGCCAUAAUUGUACCCAGUCUGUGCAGUAAUCCACAAUCAAAAUUUUGAUGUCAUAAUGUUGUCUGUCCUACACAUCAAAGACCCAGACUUACAUCUGGAUUCCCAAGUUUUGUUCCAAUUUCUUAUCACCAAUGACAAUAAGAUAACCACUCUUCAGCCAUUUUAUGUGUCAACAGAAACCUCGAGCAGAAACAAUGAAAGGAGACAGUACUACAGUGAUUCUCCAUUCCAGCAGUUAAACAGUGGAAUUCUUUCUAGUGACAUCAUCAAUACCACUGAUAACCAUGGUAACACCCAGGAAACACUCAAUGACCAUGAAGACGUAGACAGUUGCUGCGUGUGUCAGGAUGCAGAAAUGACAAUUGUUCUUCUACCCUGCAGACACGGAUGUGUGUGUAGCGGGUGUGUUGCUAAAUUGGACAAGUGCCCUGUCUGUAGAGAUGUGUUUACUUCUUAUUUCAGACUUAAGGACUUUAGUCAACAGAUGUCUCAACCAUUAGGAGAGCAGAAUUUAGGACAACCCUCUGGUCCACAUGUAAUAGCAAACAAUUGGUGGGAGAGAUUUAACGAGAGACUUAACAGUUAUUUUGGAUUUACCUAAUUUGUAAAUAGAUUGAUUAAAAAAUAUUGUCAUUU
rnacentral:misc_RNA from 1 species